UACGAAGGGUGCAAGCGUUACUCGGAAUUACUGGGCGUAAAGCGUGCGUAGGUGGUUUGUUAAGUCUGAUGUGAAAGCCCCGGGCUCAACCUGGGAAUUGCAUUGGAUACUGGCAGGCUAGAGUGCGGUAGAAGGGUAGUGGAAUUCCCGGUGUAGCAGUGAAAUGCGUAGAGAUCGGGAGGAACACCAGUGGCGAAGGCGACUACCUGGACCAGCACUGACACUGAGGCACGAAAGCGUGGGGAGCAAACAGG
rnacentral:rRNA from 1 species